rnacentral:rRNA from 1 species
UAGAGGGUGCUCGAAAGAGAGCCGUAACACAGGUGCUGCAUGGCUGUCGUCAGCUCGUGUCGUGAGAUGUUGGUUAAGUCCCGCAACGAGCGCAACCCUUGUCAUUAGUUGCUACAUUCAGUUGGGCACUCUAAUGAGACUGCCGGUGACAAGCCGGAGGAAGGUGGGGAUGACGUCAAGUCCUCAUGGCCCUUAUAGGUGGGGCUACACACGUCAUACAAUGGCUGGUACAAAGGGUUGCCAACCCGCGAGGGGGAGCUAAUCCCAUAAAGCCAGUCGUAGUCCGGAUCGUAGUCUGCAACUCGACUACGUGAAGUCGGAAUCGCUAGUAAUCGUGGAUCAGAAUGUCACGGUGAAUACGUUCCCGGGUCUU